AUUCUUAAGGCAUUACCAUGUGAAUUUUCCCUUUUUGGGGACUGCAGCAGAGCUCCAGGACUAGCUGUUUUUGUGAUGUGCAUCUUGCAGCAGCCCUUAUUCCAGGCCUCUCCUGCAGAGAAUGAAACCAUCAGUUGUCCUCAGAGAAGAGCUCCACGCUGCAGCCGCGGCCUCAGCAGGUGAUAAGAAAGGCAUGAGAACAGGCUGGAAGGAGAAUGAACUACUGAGGGGCCCAAGCUGAAAGAAAUAAAGACUUCCAGUACAUCACCCUGACAGUAAAGAACCAAGAAAAAGUGAAGUCUGGUAACUGAAGUCUGUGUGCCCAAGUGACUACAUCAGUAAGACUGGACAGAGAGUGUCCCUUUCCUGGCAGAAGCUGGUCUUUCUGCGAGUCCAUGGAAAGUUCUUGAGCAGAGAGCUCUCCAUGCCUGCUGCUGAUAACAGGAAAACUUGGCACCGUGAACCUGCUAACUCCAGCAGGCAUCCAACACGUGCUUUGGAGAAGGUGAUUAUUCCCUGCCACUGGGGCAGGUGUCUUUUCCUGUGAAGAUUUUGAUGCCAUUAAGGAGUGAUGUCCUAAAGGGAGUGCUUAAGAAGACCUCCAAUCUACAGAAAAAGUAAUGGAAGUGUUAAUGAGAAUUCAGGUUUUGUGGGGAUCAGUAUCAGCCUCUGUGACUUUGGAGUUGCACCUUUUCUCUUAUGUUUAAGAGUUCCAGUUCAUGGUGAUAUUUAAGAAAGAACUCAGCCAAAACACAGAAGAAUUGAAGGCCAGUCAUCAGAGGGGAAGAAUAUAGCCUGACAAGUCUACAGAGUAAAUAAGGUUGUAGAGAUGUGUCACUUCAUUUCAAUUAAACAUCUAUGCAUUCUCACCCACUUGUGUUCUGCGGCUUUGCUGUGAAGUUCCAUUCAAGUAGAAGAAUAUUUGAUGUUGGAAGAGGUCUCUGGAGAUCAUCUCAUCCAACAUCCCUGCUCAGAGGAGGGCAAAUUGGAGCAGGUUGCCCAGGAUCAUGUUCAGUGAGUUUGUAAUGUGUCCAAGGAUGAGGAGAGUUCUCUUGUUUAGGUGUCCUGUUCCAGUGAUCAGUCACUCUUACAUAAAGGUUUCUUAUGUUUAAAUGAUAUUUGCUGUAUUUUGGACAUUGCUGUAUUUGAAGGACACUGCCUGUCUUUUUUCACUAGACACCAUGGAGAAGAGUCUGGCUCUGUCCUUUGCUCCUCUCAUCCAUUUAUAAAAACAGCCUUGACCACGUCGCUCCAACUGUUCCCAUAACUCCCAUUGCUGAUAUUCUAACAUGAUGCAGCCAUAAACUGGACCUUUCUUUUCUUUUUAUGUACUUUUUAAUUAUCUAAAGGCUAAACUUUUGACUGCCACUUCUCAUUUGCACGCUGGAUUUGGGGUUAGAAAACAAGUUUGCUUAUUUAAUAUUUGCUUUGAUUUGGUGAUUAGUCUUUGCUCUUAAUUAUUUUUACCAUUUCCACAUGAGUGAUCAGGAAAUUAACAGCUGUCUCACACUUCCAGCAAGUUAAAAACAGCCUAGCGUAUUUCCUUAUUGACGUCUUCCUUGCCCCCGUGCAGAAUGUUUUAAGAUGCUGCUUCUCUUGAGUUUCCCACCUCACAGCUUGAGUAAUGCCACAGCUUUUAAAAAUGUUUCCCUUUUGACUUGCCAAGGCGAUGAAGACAAGUAAAGUCAUCCAGCAUAAAAGGUAUAUGUGAACAAAACAUGAAUGGAAGGUGUGGGUCAAGUUACAAUCCAAACAAGAAGAAUAUUAGAAGCAGUUUUGGAGACUGAGGAGAUCAGUCCUGUGGCACACAUCUGCAGUGAGAAAUACUGCCAUCCUGGGAUCCUGUGUGGUGUUUACACACUCAUAGCAAAUCCUCUUUAAAAAGUAAAAAUAAAUGGAUUGCUGCUCCUUUUUCCA